CCUACGGGUGACAGCAGUGGGGAAUAUUGGACAAUGGGGGAAACCCUGAUGCAGCCAAGCCGCGUGAGUGAAGACGUCUUUCGGUGUGUUAAGCUCUAUCUGUAGAAACGUGAAGUGACGCUACCUGGCUUAGAAGCACCGGCUAACUACGUGACAGCAGCCGCGGUAAUACGUAGGGGGCAAGCGUUAUCCGGAGUCCCUGGGUGUAAAGGGAGCGUAGAGGGGUGGUGAAGCCAGAAGUGAAAGGCGGGGGCUCAACCCUAGGAUUGCAUUGGGAACUGUACGGCUGGAGUGCAGGAGAGGUAAGUGGAAUUCCUAGUGUAGCGGUGAAAUGCUUAGAUAUUACGAGGAACACCAGUGGCGAAGGCGGCUUACUAGACUGCAACUGACGUUGAGGCUCGAAAGCGUGGGUAGCAAACAGGAUUAGAUACCCUUGUAGUC
rnacentral:rRNA from 1 species